UGGGGGAGGGGGGGCAGUCGUCCCAGCAGAGCCCCGGACUCAGAAAGCUCUCAGAAAUCGGAAACCACUGUUUUCUUGCUGGCUGUUUGCCCUCAUUAAUUCAGGUAGCAAUUACCCGUUCUGAAUAUUUGGCGCCUAAUUAGUAUUCCCUGUGGAGACGCAGACCGAGGAGAAACAGGAGGAAUGCUUGGCUCUGACCUGAUCUACUUUCUUGGUUUCCCAGGAGGGGACAAAGGACGAGGGAGACUGAAAGAGGGAGGGGACAGAUGAGAGAAAUGGCCUGGAAUGUGCGCCUAGCUGCCCGGGUCUUUGCUCCAGGUCCACAGGGUGAUAAAAAUAACCCAUCCAGUGUUGGUUUUGUUCUUGUUUUCAUGACGUCUGGCCGGUUUGCCCUGUGGGUGCCGCCUGGAGGAGGGGCGGUUGCCUGAUAAUGCGGGCGGCGGUGUCACAGCAGAAGUUCAAGGCUGCUCACCCAGCUGGUGUCUCCUCAUUCUGGAGCGGUGCCCUCUGAAUGCACAGGCAUGAGCGACUAGAGAGGAAGCUUCCGCAUCAUGAGCCAGCACGGCGCCAGGACGUGGAGCCUUGGGGUGUUCCUUCUUCUAGAACCCUCGUCCCUGGUGAGGGCCACACUCAGGAGGACGCUUCUGCAGAGGACAGAGAAAGCCAGCUGGCCCCCUCUGGAAGGGUUGUCUAUCUGCAGCUCCGACGCUCUAGAAGAACUAAGGCCAUUUUCUUUCGCAAACUCACAGAAACCCAGAGAAGCAACUGCAUUGGGUCUGGAGGGGAUCAAAGGAGGCAGAAGGUUUAUGUCCGUGUCUCAGAAUGACCUGUGAUGGAAUUUACAUUUAUUGCUUUAAAAUGAAAUCCGCAAAGUGCAUGAAGUGUGUGCUCAGGUGGCUUCCAUGUUGCCUGGGAAUCCGGUUUAUACGUCCCUCUGCCAGGCCCUCCAGCCCUCCUGUCCUGGCCUGAGGAGUCUACCAGGACAGACUUCCCGCCUUAGGGACUUACCAUUAACCCCUCUUUUUGUCGCCGAGGCUAUUCAGGUUUGGCCAGUAUUGGAAGACUUGCCAGAGGCCAGACCUGGUAUUGAAUCUGAUCCAUGAGGCUUUUGUUUACCAACCCAAGGCUUUUCCAUAAACAGCAAGUGGGAUGGGCUGAGGAGAACGGAGAGCUUGGAUUAAGGGAUGGUGGCAACGACCCGGGUUGCAGGGCUGCAGGCUCAGGGGACAAGCAUUCGACCUUGGUCCCUAAACACCCAUGUGCCUCGAAAGCUAGGAGAAACCUCUUGCUUUCCAGAUGAGCCAGCUUUCCCAUCGGGAAAGUAAUAGUUUAGAUGAUAUUACAGUCUGAGUUGUGUCUCUCAAACUUCUAGGUUGACGUCCUUCCUGGCUCUCAGGGUCUCAAAAUGUGACUGUAUUGCGAGAUAGAAUUUUUUUUUUUUUUGGUCUUUUUAGGACCGCACCUGCAGCAUAUGGAGGUUCUCAGGUUGGGGGUCCAAUCAGAGCUGCAGCUGCUGGCCUACACCACAGCCACAGCAACGUGGGAUCCAAGCUGUGUCUGUGACCUACACCACAGCUCACAGCAAUGCCAGAUCUUUACCUCACCCAUUGAAGCCAGGGGUCGAAUCCCCGUCCACACGGAUAAUAAUUGGGUUUGUUACCACUGAGCCACGACGGAAACUCCGGAGGUAGAAUCUUUAAAAAGCUGACUGAGGUCCAGUGAGGUCACAUGGGGUCCUUAUAAGAGGAGGUCAGGGGACAGACCCACAGAGCAGCGGCGACCACAUGAGGGCCCAGCGAGAAGGCGGCCGUCUGCAAGCCCAGGAG
rnacentral:lncRNA from 1 species